rnacentral:rRNA from 1 species
CCCUUAGAUGUUCUGGGCCGCACGCGUGCUACACUGAGUGGAUCAGCGGGUCAGGUUGCGCGAAAGCGUUUCCUAAUCUUUAAAUCCGCUCGUGAUGGGGAUUGACGGUUGCAAUUUUCUGUCAUGAACGAGGAAUACCUUGUAAGCGCGGGUCAUCAUCCCGCGCUGAAUACGUCCCUGCCCUUUGUACACACCGCCCGUCGCUCCUACCGAUUGAGUGGUCCGGUGAGGCUUUGGGAUCUGAGCGGAAAGUGCGUUUCGCUGUUUCUGCUCGGAAAACUCAGUCGAACCUUAUCAUUUAGAGGAAGGAGAAGUCGUAACA